GAUCCUGGCUCAGGACGAACGCUGGCGGCGUGCCUAACACAUGCAAGUCGAACGGGGUUACACGAGGUGCUUGCACCAUGUGGAACCUAGUGGCGGACGGGUGAGUAACGCGUGAGCAACCUGCCUUUCAGAGGGGGAUAACAACGGGAAACCGUUGCUAAUACCGCAUAAUACCGGAUGAUGGCAUCAUUGACCGGUCAAAGGAGCAAUCCGCUGAAAGAUGGGCUCGCGUCCCAUUAGGUAGUUGGG
rnacentral:rRNA from 1 species